AUUGAACGCUGGCGGCAGGCUUAACACAUGCAAGUCGAACGUGUCGCGGACGGGUGAGUAAUGCUUGGGACUUUGGCUUCUGGUGGGGGAUAACGUCGGGAAACUGUCGCUAAAACCGCGACCCAGUGGAUGAGCCCAAAUGGGAAUAGGUAGUUGGUGGGGUAAGGGCCUACCAAGGCUACUAUCUCUAUCUGGUCUGAGAGGAUGACCAGCCAAACCGGGACUGAGAACCGGCCCGGACUCCGACGUGAGGCAGCAGGGGGGAAUAUUGCGCAAUGGGGGCAACCUGAGGCAGCCAUGCCGCGUGAAUGAAGAAGGCCUUCGGGUUGUAAAGGUCUUUCGGUGACGAGGCGUUAAUCGCAGAAGAAGCACCGGCUAACUCCGUGCCAGCAGCCGCGGUAAUUC
rnacentral:rRNA from 1 species